rnacentral:rRNA from 1 species
UACGUAGGGCGCAAGCGUUAUCCGGAAUUAUUGGGCGUAAAGAGCUCGUAGGCGGUUUGUCGCGUCUGCCGUGAAAGUCCGGGGCUUAACUCCGGGUCUGCAUUCGAUAUGGGCAGACUAGAGUGUGGUAGGGGAGAUCGAAUUCCUGGUGUAGCGGUGAAAUGCGCAGAUAUCAGGAGGAACACCGGUGGCGAAGGCGGAUCUCUGGGCCAUUACUGACGCUGAGGAGCGAAAGCGUGGGGAGCGAACAGG